rnacentral:rRNA from 1 species
AUACGUAGGGAGCAAACGUUGUCCGGAUUUAUUGGGCGUAAAGGGCUCGUAGGCGGUUCAACAAGUCGGUCGUGAAAGCCCGGGGCUCAACCCCGGGACGCCGGUCGAAACUGUUGUGACUAGAGUUCGGUAGAGGUGAGUGGAAUUCUCGGUGUAGCGGUGGAAUGCGCAGAUAUCGAGAGGAACACCAUUAGCGAAGGCGGCUCACUGGGCCGAUACUGACGCUGAGGAGCGAAAGCGUGGGGAGCAAACAGGAUUAGAAACCCUGGUAGUCC